rnacentral:rRNA from 1 species
GACGAACGCUGGCGGCGUGCUUAACACAUGCAAGUCGAACGGAAAGGCCCUGCUUUUGUGGGGUGCUCGAGUGGCGAACGGGUGAGUAACACGUGAGUAACCUGCCCUUGACUUUGGGAUAACUUCAGGAAACUGGGGCUAAUACCGGAUAGGAGCUCCUGCUGCAUGGUGGGGGUUGGAAAGUUUCGGCGGUUGGGGAUGGACUCGCGGCUUAUCAGCUUGUUGGUGGGGUAGUGGCUUACCAAGGCUUUGACGGGUAGCCGGCCUGAGAGGGUGACCGGCCACAUUGGGACUGAGAUACGGCCCAGACUCCUACGGGAGGCAGCAGUGGGGAAUAUUGCACAAUGGGCGGAAGCCUGAUGCAGCAACGCCGCGUGCGGGAUGACGGCCUUCGGGUUGUAAACCGCUUUCGCCUGUGACGAAGCGUGAGUGACGGUAAUGGGUAAAGAAGCACCGGCUAACUACGUGCCAGCAGCCGCGGUGAUACGUAGGGUGCGAGCGUUGUCCGGAUUUAUUGGGCGUAAAGGGCUCGUAGGUGGUUGAUCGCGUCGGAAGUGUAAUCUUGGGGCUUAACCCUGAGCGUGCUUUCGAUACGGGUUGACUUGAGGAAGGUAGGGGAGAAUGGAAUUCCUGGUGGAGCGGUGGAAUGCGCAGAUAUCAGGAGGAACACCAGUGGCGAAGGCGGUUCUCUGGGCCUUUCCUGACGCUGAGGAGCGAAAGCGUGGGGAGCGAACAGGCUUAGAUACCCUGGUAGUCCACGCUGUAAACGGUGGGUACUAGGUGUGGGGUCCAUUCCACGGGUUCCGUGCCGUAGCUAACGCUUUAAGUACCCCGCCUGGGGAGUACGGCCGCAAGGCUAAAACUCAAAGGAAUUGACGGGGCCCCGCACAAGCGGCGGAGCAUGCGGAUUAAUUCGAUGCAACGCGUAGAACCUUACCUGGGUUUGACAUGGAUCGGGAGCGCUCAGAGAUGGGUGUGCCUCUUUUGGGGUCGGUUCACAGGUGGUGCAUGGCUGUCGUCAGCUCGUGUCGUGGGAUGUUGGGUUAAGUCCCGCAACGAGCGCAACCCUUGUUCACUGUUGCCAGCACGUUAUGGUGGGGACUCAGUGGAGACCGCCGGGGUCAACUCGGAGGAAGGUGGGGAUGACGUCAAGUCAUCAUGCCCCUUAUGUCCAGGGCUUCACGCAUGCUACAAUGGCUGGCACAGAGAGUGGCGAGCCUGUGAGGGUGAGCGAAUCUCGGAAAGCCGGUCUCAGUUCGGAUUGGGGUCUGCAACUCGACCUCAUGAAGUCGGAGUCGCUAGUAAUCGCAGAUCAGCAACGCUGCGGUGAAUACGUUCCCGGG